rnacentral:lncRNA from 10 species
CGCCUGUGAAGGGGUCAGGGGAAAUUUCCUGCUCAUUUAUGGGGCCUCAUUUGGGAUACGUCAGCAGGCCCCCAUGGCCUGGUGUUUGGUCUGAUCACCCCAACAUUUCUGGCACCCAACGUGGGGCUAUGAAGACCCCAGUGAAGGAACACUAGAGCAUGCGGAACUGGAGGACGCAUUGUCAGAGGACACCCGAGGAUGACUGAAAGAAGCUCGGUGGGAAAGCUGAGCACUCGGAAGAAACAGGGUAACAACAGGACAGAAUGAAAGUUCCACUGGCAGACAGCAGAGAAGAGGAGAAGCAUCUGGACAUCAGAGAGUACAGUUGGAUGUUGGAGAGAAGCAGCUUGACUUCACAGAGACGGCUUGAUGGCAUUGCUCCAGGGGAAGAUCACCUUCCUGCUCCAUCCCCUUUCCAGCUCCCCUUCCCACUGAGUGCCACUUUCAUCAACAAUAAAAUCCCCUGCAUUCACCACCCUUCAAUUUGUGUUACCCGGACGCCAAACAAGAGCUGAGGUACCAUGGGAGCAGAUGCAAAAGGCUGUCACACUGACCCUCUGCCCUCACUGGUGGAAAGCAGCCACCUCAUGAGAAAAGGCAGAGGGCCCACUGAGCUGUUAACACUUAAGCCAUCUGUGGAUGGCAGCACUGAAAGAGCACUGACUAUAACAUUCCUUCUGGGGCUUUGGGCGUCAUGGGUACUUCUCCCAGAUGCUGCCGCAGGGCGCAUGCAGUUUUGCCCCUGCUGACACCCAAAAGCACUCACCCUGGCUCCUACAACUGCUCACCUGCGUGUUCCCUCCCACGAGGGUUGAACACAAGGGGUUCGGGUGAGUGGAGUUUUCCCCUGCUGGUGCCAAAGCUGUGGGUAGCUCCAGUGCCUGUACUUCAGUUCCUGCC